rnacentral:rRNA from 1 species
GACGAACGCUGGCGGCGUGCCUAAUACAUGCAAGUCGAGCGGACUUCGCCCUUCGGGGUGAGGUUAGCGGCGGACGGGUGAGUAACACGUAGGCAACCUGCCUGUAAGACCGGGAUAACAUUCGGAAACGAAUGCUAAUACCGGAUAUGCAACUUGGCUGCAUGGCUGAGUUGGGAAAGACGGCGCAAGCUGUCACUUACAGAUGGGCCUGCGGUGCAUUAGCUAGUUGGUGAGGUAACGGCUCACCAAGGCGACGAUGCAUAGCCGACCUGAGAGGGUGAUCGGCCACACUGGGACUGAGACACGGCCCAGACUCCUACGGGAGGCAGCAGUAGGGAAUCUUCCGCAAUGGACGAAAGUCUGACGGAGCAACGCCGCGCGAGUGAUGAAGGUUUUCGGAUCGUAAAGCUCUGUUGCCAGGGAAGAACAGCCAGGCGAGUAACUGCGCUUGGAAUGACGGUACCUGAGAAGAAAGCCCCGGCUAACUACGUGCCAGCAGCCGCCGUAACAC